AACGAACGCUGGCGGCAUGCCUAACACAUGCAAGUCGAACGAGACCUUCGGGUCUAGUGGCGCACGGGUGCGUAACGCGUGGGAACCUGCCCUUAGGUUCGGAAUAACUCCCCGAAAGGGGUGCUAAUACCGGAUAAUGUCUUCGGACCAAAGAUUUAUCGCCUUUGGAUGGGCCCGCGUUGGAUUAGCUAGUUGGUAGGGUAAAAGCCUACCAAGGCGACGAUCCAUAGCUGGUCUGAGAGGAUGGUCAGCCACACUGGGACUGAGACACGGCCCAGACUCCUACGGGAGGCAGCAGUGGGGAAUAUUGGACAAUGGGCGGAAGCCUGAUCGAGCAAUGCCGCGUGAGUGAUGAAGGCCUUAGGGUUGUAAAGCUCUUUUACCCGGGAUGAUAAUGACAGUACCGGGAGAAUAAGCUCCGGCUAACUCCGUG
rnacentral:rRNA from 1 species